AGAUACCUGGUAGUCCACCCGUAAACGAUGUCACUUAGCUGUUGGUUCCCUUGAGAACUUAGUAGCGCAGCUAACGCGAUAAGUUGACCGCCUGGGGAGUACGGCCGCAAGGUUAAAACUCAAAGGAAUAGACGGGGACCCGCACAAGCGGUGGAGCAUGUGGUUUAAUUCGACGAUACACGAAGAACCUUACCUGGACUUGACAUUGAAAGAAUCCCUGUAGAGAUACGGGAGUGCUAGCUUGCUAGAGCUUGAAAACAGGUGCUGCACGGCUGUCGUCAGCUCGUGUCGUGAGAUGUUGGGUUAAGUCCCGCAACGAGCGCAACCCACGUCGUUAGUUGCUAACAGUUAGGCUGAGAACUCUAACGAGACUGCCUUCGUAAGGAGGAGGAAGGUGUGGACGACGUCAAGUCAUCAUGGCCCUUACGUCCAGGGCUACACACGUGCUACAAUGGGGUAUACAAAGAGCAGCGAUACGGUGACGUGGAGCAAAUCUCAUAAAAUGCCUCCCAGUUCGGAUUGUAGUCUGCAACUCGACUACAUGAAGUUGGAAUCGCUAGUAAUCGUAGAUCAGCAUUGCUACGGUGAAUACGUUCCCGGGUCUUGUACUCACCGCCCGUCACACCAUGGGAGUUGAUUUCGCCUUAAGUCAAAAUGCUAAAAUAGCUAUUGCCCACGGCGGAAUCAGCGACUGGGGUGAAGUCGUAACAAGGUAACC
rnacentral:rRNA from 1 species